UACGUAGGGGGCAAGCGUUGUCCGGAUUUAUUGGGCGUAAAGAGCGUGUAGGCGGCUUGGUAGGUCUCGCGUCAAAACCUGAGGCUCAACCUCAGUUCGCGUGGGAAACCACCUAGCUAGAGUCCGGAAGAGGAGAACGGAAUUCCCAGUGUAGCGGUGGAAUGCGCAGAUAUUGGGAAGAACACCAGUGGCGAAGGCGGUUCGCUGGGACGGUACUGACGCUGAGACGCGAAAGCGUGGGGAGCGAACAGG
rnacentral:rRNA from 1 species